UGGGGAAUAUUGCACAAUGGUCGAAAGCCUGAUGCAGCGACGCCGCGUGAGGGAUGACGCCCUUCGGGUUGUAAACUUCUUUCAGCAGGGACGAAGCGCAAGUUACGGUACCUGCAGAAGAAGCACCGGCUAACUACGUGCCAGCAGCCGCGGUAACACGUAGGGUGCAAGCGUUGUCCGGAAUUACUGGGCGUAAAGAGUUCGUAGGCGGUUUGUCGCGUCGUUUGUGAAAACCAGCAGCUCAACUGCUGGCUUGCAGGCGAUACGGGCAGACUUGAGUACUGCAGGGGGGACUGGAAUUCCUGGUGUAGCGGUGAAAUGCGAAGAUAACAGGAGGAACACCGGUGGCGAAGGCGGGUCUCUGGGCAGUAACUGACGCUGAGGAACGAAAGCGUGGGUAGCGAGCAGG
rnacentral:rRNA from 1 species